rnacentral:rRNA from 1 species
AGAGACAGCAGUAGCCGCGGUAAUACCGAGGGUGCGAGCGUUAAUCGGAUUUACUGGGCGUAAAGCGUGCGUAGGCGGCUAAUUGAGUCGGAUGUGAAAUCCCCGAGCUUAACUUGGGAAUUGCAUUCGAUACUGGUUAGCUAGAGUGUGGGAGAGGAUGGUAGAAUUCCAGGUGUAGCGGUGAAAUGCGUAGAGAUCUGGAGGAAUACCGAUGGCGAAGGCAGCCAUCUGGCCUAACACUGACGCUGAGGUACGAAAGCAUGGGGAGCAAACAGGAUUAGAGACCCCAGUAGUCCCUGUCUCUUAUAC